rnacentral:rRNA from 1 species
AUGCAGUCGAGCGGCAGCACAGAGGAACUUGUUCCUUGGGUGGCGAGCGGCGGACGGGUGAGUAAUGCCUGGGAAAUUGCCCUGAUGUGGGGGAUAACCAUUGGAAACGAUGGCUAAUACCGCAUGAUGCCUACGGGCCAAAGAGGGGGACCUUCGGGCCUCUCGCGUCAGGAUAUGCCCAGGUGGGAUUAGCUAGUUGGUGAGGUAAUGGCUCACCAAGGCGACGAUCCCUAGCUGGUCUGAGAGGAUGAUCAGCCACACUGGAACUGAGACACGGUCCAGACUCCUACGGGAGGCAGCAGUGGGGAAUAUUGCACAAUGGGCGCAAGCCUGAUGCAGCCAUGCCGCGUGUAUGAAGAAGGCCUUCGGGUUGUAAAGUACUUUCAGUCGUGAGGAAGGUUGUAGUGUGAAUAGCACUAUGAUUUGACGUUAGCGACAGAAGAAGCACCGGCUAACUCCGUGCCAGCAGCCGCGGUAAUACGGAGGGUGCGAGCGUUAAUCGGAAUUACUGGGCGUAAAGCGCAUGCAGGUGGUUUGUUAAGUCAGAUGUGAAAGCCCUGGGCUCAACCUAGGAGUUGCAUUUGAAACUGACAAGCUAGAGUACUGUAGAGGGGGGUAGAAUUUCAGGUGUAGCGGUGAAAUGCGUAGAGAUCUGAAGGAAUACCGGUGGCGAAGGCGGCCCCCUGGACAGAUACUGACACUCAGAUGCGAAAGCGUG